UACCAGCACCCCGAGUGGUCGGGACGUUUUAUUGGGCCUAAAGCAUCCGUAGCCGGUUCUACAAGUCUUCCGUUAAAUCCAACUGCUUAACAGGUGGGCUGCGGAAGAUACUAUAGAGCUAGGAGGCGGGAGAGGCAAGCGGUACUCGAUGGGUAGGGGUAAAAUCCGUUGAUCCAUUGAAGACCACCAGUGGCGAAGGCGGCUUACUGGACCGGUUCUGACGCUGAGGCGCGAAAGCGUGGGGAGCAAACAGG
rnacentral:rRNA from 1 species